UCCAAGUUUUGAAGAUGAAGAAUGUCUUCCAGCCUCUGCACCCCCUCCUCAUCCAUGCUGGGAAAAUGGGAGAAGACAGUGGACUCUGGACUCUCUCCCUGCCCCUCAGAAAAAAUCUGACAUUCCUCUCACAUUAUUGGGUAAGUUGUUAUCUACAGCCAGUCCGUGUUCACGUCCUAAGUAGGGUGGAGGGGAGAAGAUUGCUUUCUUUAAUCCAAAAGGCCCACGAUGGCAUUUUUCUCACCCAAAGAGCUGCCCACCGUCUUGGCUACGCUGUCCUUUCCAUCUGUUCUCUCUUUAGCUACAUCAAGAAAUUUCAGAGGCUUUGCAGUGAGGGGAGUCCCUUAGCACUGCAGCAGGCUCACAUGGUGCCCUCCCCAACAGUCCCGAUGGUGCAAGGCCCACAGCCAGUGGCAUCCCCGUUGGUCAUGGGUCUGUGGCUUCUUCUUUCUAUACCAGCACAAUGUGAACGAGUGAGCAAACACUCGAUUUCUCUGUGUGUGCAGGGGAAAGUGUAUAAAUACAUUGGGGUUGGAGGUUAUGUGAGUGUGUGCAUGUGCGUGCAGAUUGCGUGUGUGCGUGUGUGUGUGCAUGCACUCCCUUAGGCUGGGACUGGAGGUGGUGGGGGGUGCUUGCAUAUGCUAGGGCUGGAGGUCGGGUGGGGUGUGGGACAGGGAGAAGAAAUUUGUAUAUGAUUUGAGAUUUCUCAGGCUGCCUCUUGCCAAGUGGUUUCCUCUGAAGCUCAGAAUCAGCCCAUAUGGCCUGGGGGGUGGAAAAUCUCACUGUCAGCAGCCAGUCUCUGACUCAUUCUGAAAGCCUGCGGGCCUGCCGCUGACUGCCAUGGGCUCCAUGCUCCGACUGGCUCAUCCCUGCCUUCAGGUUGUGCCUCUGAGGACCCAUGCCCCUUCCCAACAGCUCGGAGGGGUCACAGAGACCCUUUGUCACAUCCAUCCCCCUGACUCCUCCCUCCUGCUGGUCCUCUUCCCCACAUCGCAACUCCCUCCGCCAUUCCCUCACUCUGUGUUCAAAGAUCUCCCAGCAAACGUGUCCUCUACCCACCCCAGGAGGUCCUGGAGUGUCUUCAAAUUCCCACAGCUCCUAGCGGCCGUAUCUGCUCUGCCAUCCCUUCCUUUAUCUCUUACUAGCACUCCCUGCUGGGACCUGUCAUCCCAGAGCCAUGGACACAUGAUCAACAUCACCUCUGCUGGGACAGGAGCCACUGAGACUGUGCCCAACAGAGAAGCUGUUAAAACAUGCAGUUCUUCUGUCACAGAAUGUGCGCCCCAGGCACCUCAUGCCAUCCGAGACCCUCCCCUUGCUCCUGAUCCCUUCCCUACCUGUGGGGAGAGUCCGGGUGGGUGGGGCAUGGGGUAAGACGAGGUGUGUUUGUUGGGAGCAUUAGCCAGCAGGAUAGCAGCUGUGCUAGAUUCAGAUCCAGCCAUCCUGAUGCAUCACAAAGGGGCUUCAAAAGGACCACAUCAAAAGGCCAAGCAUCUCUCCCAGGAUUGUGCCACCUACUGCGCUGGGAGCUGGAUCCUCCAUGCAAGGUAUCACCCUGAGCUAAUACCCCCUCAGUUCCACAGGGUGUACCUGCUGCUGCUGACA
rnacentral:lncRNA from 1 species